AUGAAGACACCCACUGGGGCUUUAAUCAUGUUCUUGUGGCUGCAGCUGGACUGUGUCAGCCUUGGAGAGAAGGUGGAGCAGAGUCCUUCUACCCUGACUGUCCAGGAGGGAAACAGCUCUGUUAUCACCUGUACUUAUACAGACACUGCUUUAGACUACUUCCUUUGGUAUAAGAAAGAACCUGGAAAAGGUCCCCAGCUCCUUAUAGACAUUCGUUAAAUACGAGCAAAAAAGAACCCCAAAGAUGGAGUGUUUUAUUGAAUGACAAGGCCAAACGUCUCUCCCUGCACAUCUCAGACACCCAGCCUGGAGACUCAGCUGUCUACUUCUGUGCAACAAGUACACAGUGCUUCCCAUGUACCUGCUACCUGUACUCACAGCUGCGACUGGGGCAGCCUCCUUCCUUUGGCACAGACUUUCACGUAUAG